CCUACGGGAGGCAGCAGUGGGGAAUAUUGGACAAUGGGCGAAAGCCUGAUCCAGCAAUGCCGCGUGAGUGAUGAAGGCCUUAGGGUUGUAAAGCUCUUUUACCAGGGAUGAUAAUGACAGUACCUGGAGAAUAAGCUCCGGCUAACUCUGUGCCAGCAGCCGCGGUAAU
rnacentral:rRNA from 1 species